rnacentral:rRNA from 1 species
CAAGUCUUGACAUCCCUCUGAAUCCUCUAGAGAUAGAGGCGGCCUUCGGGACAGAGGUGACAGGUGGUGCAUGGUUGUCGUCAGCUCGUGUCGUGAGAUGUUGGGUUAAGUCCCGCAACGAGCGCAACCCUUGAUUUUAGUUGCCAGCACUUCGGGUGGGCACUCUAGAAUGACUGCCGGUGACAAACCGGAGGAAGGCGGGGAUGACGUCAAAUCAUCAUGCCCCUUAUGACUUGGGCUACACACGUACUACAAUGGCUGGUACAACGGGAAGCGAAGCCGCGAGGUGGAGCCAAUCCUAUAAAAGCCAGUCUCAGUUCGGAUUGCAGGCUGCAACUCGCCUGCAUGAAGUCGGAAUUGCUAGUAAUCGCGGAUCAGCAUGCCGCGGUGAAUACGUUCCC